rnacentral:rRNA from 1 species
UACGUAGGGUCCAAGCGUUAUCCGGAAUCACUGGGCGUAAAGCGUGCGUAGGUGGCGCGUUAAGUGAGGCGUUAAAUCGUGUGGCUCAACCAUAUCGAUGCGUCUCAUACUGGCGUGCUAGAGGACAGCAGAGGCAAGUGGAAUUUGUAGUGUAGCAGUGAAAUGCGUAGAUAUUACAAGGAACACCAAUGGCGAAGGCAGCUUGCUGGGCUACUCCUGACACUGAGGUACGAAAGCGUGGGGAGCGAACAGG